rnacentral:rRNA from 1 species
ACAGUGGACGCGAGCAUCUGUGGCCAAGUUUUUAAGGGCGCACGGUGGAUGCCUUGGCACCAGGAACCGAUGAAGGACGUGGGAGGCCGCGAUAGGCCCCGGGGAGCUGUCAACCGAGCUUUGAUCCGGGGGUGUCCGAAUGGGGAAACCCGGCAGUCGUCAUGGGCUGUCACCCGCUGCUGAACACAUAGGCAGUGUGGAGGGAACGCGGGGAAGUGAAACAUCUCAGUACCCGCAGGAAGAGAAAACAACCGUGAUUCCGGGAGUAGUGGCGAGCGAAACUGGAUGAGGCUAAACCGUAUGUGUGUGAUACCCGGCAGGGGUUGCGCAUGCGGGGUUGUGGGAGUGUGCUUGAUCAGUCUGCCGGCUGGUCGGAGAGUCAGAAACCGUAUGGAUAGGCGAAGGGCAUGCGAAAGGCCCGGCGUAGAGGGUAAGACCCCCGUAGCUGAAAUCUGUGCGGCUCUCUUGCGUAUUUCCCAAGUAGCACGGGGCCCGAGAAAUCCCGUGUGAAUCUGGCGGGACCACCCGCUAAGCCUAAAUAUUCCCUGGUGACCGAUAGCGGAUAGUACCGUGAGGGAAUGGUGAAAAGUACCGCGGGAGCGGAGUGAAAUAGUACCUGAAACCGUGUGCCUACAAGCCGUGGGAGCGUCGGAUGCAGCUUGCUGCAUCUCGUGACUGCGUGCCUUUUGAAGAAUGAGCCUGCGAGUUUGCGGUGCGUUGCGAGGUUAACCCGUGUGGGGAAGCCGUAGCGAAAGCGAGUCCGAAUAGGGCGAUGGAGUAGCGCGCUCAAGACCCGAAGCGGAGUGAUCUAGCCAUGGGCAGGUUGAAGCGGAGGUAAGACUUCGUGGAGGACCGAACCCACCAGGGUUGAAAACCUGGGGGAUGACCUGUGGUUAGGGGUGAAAGGCCAAUCAAACUCCGUGAUAGCUGGUUCUCCCCGAAAUGCAUUUAGGUGCAGCGUCGUGUGUUUCUUGCCGGAGGUAGAGCACUGGAUAGGCGAUGGGCCCUACCGGGUUACUGACCUUAGCCAAACUCCGAAUGCCGGUAAGUGAGAGCGCGGCAGUGAGACUGUGGGGGAUAAGCUCCAUGGUCGAGAGGGAAACAGCCCAGAGCAUCGACUAAGGCCCCUAAGCGUACGCUAAGUGGGAAAGGAUGUGGAGUCGCAGAGACAACCAGGAGGUUGGCUUAGAAGCAGCCACCCUUGAAAGAGUGCGUAAUAGCUCACUGGUCAAGUGAUUCCGCGCCGACAAUGUAGCGGGGCUCAAGCGUACCGCCGAAGUCGUGUCAUUGCAGUACAUACCCCCAACGGGGACUGUGAUGGGUAGGGGAGCGUCGUGUGCCGGGUGAAGCAGCGCCGGAAGGUAGUUGUGGACGGUUCACGAGUGAGAAUGCAGGCAUGAGUAGCGAUUCACACGUGAGAAACGUGUGCGCCGAUUGACUAAGGGUUCCUGGGUCAAGCUGAUCUGCCCAGGGUAAGUCGGGACCUAAGGCGAGGCCGACAGGCGUAGUCGAUGGACAACCGGUUGAUAUUCCGGUACCCGCUUUGAAGCGCCAAACAUUGAAUCAGGCGAUGCUAAGUCCGUGAA